GCACUUGCGUGGGAAUACGAGGCUGACGCGACGGCCCUGUCCCCGUAACUGUGACACGGGUGCACGCGAGCGUCAUUGGGGGCGAUGGGGGCCGUGCUGGGUGCGCGUUUGCACCAGUGACGCAGCCGUUGCAUCUCCGCCAGUCCGCGCAGGCCAGCAUCCUUCAGAAAAAGCAUCCCCGAGGAGGAAGACGAAUCGUUAAACAUCUUAAAGGGUCAGGUGAGUAUCCUUUUUUUUUAUAUUAAAUGAUAUAUGUUUAUAAGACUUAAGACCAAACAUUAAAGGUAGAUGACCAAGAUUUGAGUCCUGUUUCUGCCUCUUAGCUUUUUGAGCCUUCUGAAGAUAGGCUUGUGAGGAGGGUGAAAUGCAUUAACACGCAUAAAAUCCAUAGACGCGCACCCCUGAGUGGGAGUGCACAGUGAGUGCUGCUGUUUUGUGCUAAGUCUGGAUGUCUGUACAU
rnacentral:sRNA from 1 species